UUCAUGUCCUUUGGGCCUAGUCCGGACACGCUGCUGCUGCCGCCAUAUUCCUGUGGCAUCUUUCUUACUUUGGCCCAUUUUGUGGGCUUGAGAUCUCCUUUUGGAGCCAUGUCAGAAGGAGUGGACUUGAUUGAUAUAUACACUGACGAAGAGUUCAACCAGGAACCCAACCCAGAGUUCAACAAUACAGAUCAGAUUGAUCUGUAUGAUGAUGUGUUGAUGGCCACCUCAAGCCCUCAGAUGACAGAAGCAGCAGCACUGAGCCACCUCCUCCUGUUCACCAGGAGCCAUAUCCCAAGCCCAACAACAAGACCCCUGCAAUUUUGUAUACCUACAGUGGCCUGCAUAAUAGUUGAGCUGCCGUCUAUCUGGACAGUUUCUCAUGGUGGACCACAGACCAGCAGCUGAUCCAGGUUAUUCGCUCUAUAGGAGUCUAUGAUGUGGUGGAGUUGAAAUUUGCAGAGAAUCGAGCAAAUGGCCAGUCCAAAGGGUAUGCUGAGGUGGUGGUAGCCUCUGAAAACUCUGUCCACAGAUUGUUGGAACUUCUACCAGGAAAAGUUCUUAAUGGAGAAAAAGUGGAUGUGAGGCCAGCCACCCGACAGAACCUAUCACAGUUUGAGGCAUAGGCUCGGAAACGAAUACCUCCACGGGUCUACUCCCAAGAUUCUAAUGAUUCUGCUGAUGGACCGGCCACACCCUCUGAGAACCUUGUACCCUCAUCUGCUCGUGUGGAUAAGCCCCACAGUGUGCUGCUCUACUUCAAUUGCCCUCCUUCAGCCCUUCCCCUAAUGGGUCUGCCCCCAUUACCUCUCCUCAAGCUUUGGGGUCCCACCUCCUCAUCCUGGUAUCCACUACCAGCAUCUCAUGCCCCCAGCUCCUCGAUUACCUCCUCAUCUUGCCUUACCUCCUCCUGGGGCCAUCCCACCUGCCCUUCACCUCAAUCCAGCCUUCUUCCCCCCACCAAAUUCUACCAUGGGGCCUCCAUCAGAUACUUACAUGAAGGCCUCAGCACCCUAUAACCACCAUGGCAGCCAAGAUUCAGGCCCUCCACCCUCUAUAGUGAGUGAAGCUGAAUUUGAAGAGAUCAUGAAACGAAACAGAGCAAUUUCUAGCAGUUGCAUUUCCAAAGCUGUAUCUAGAGCGAGUGCAGGGGAUUAUAGUGAUGCAAUUGCAACGCUGCUCACAGCCACUGCAGUUAUCAAACAGUCCCGGGUCACCAAGGAUGAGCGUUGCCAUGUCCUCAUCUCCUCACUUAAGGACCGUCUUCGUGGCAUUGAAGCCAAGUUCUACAGCGUAGGUGCCAGCAGGAGCUAUUCCAGAAAAAGACAUUGAUCCGGGGAGAGGACACCUAGCCAGUCUGGGGAAAGCAGCAGGAGAUCUGCUUCAUAAUGAAGAUUGGCAUGAUGAUUAUUUCCAAGAGAGGAACCGGGAGCACGAGAGACACCGGAAUAGAGAACGGGACAGGCACCACGAGAAAGGAGUCUGGUUGGAUGCAAAUGUUUUUUUAAUGGACUUGCAUCUCCUCACCUUGAUCAGGACUAAAGGACAGAGGCCACUCCACCCCUUCCCCUUCCUCCAAUCCCCUAACUCCCUCCAGACACCCAGGGAAUACCCUCUGCCCUACAGGAUUGAAGACUACUUGGCAGCCCUCCUAAUCCCAUACCUCCUGUCUGCCAGAAGAAAGAAUCUAAAGACUUCAUGUGGUCGGGAGGGGUGGCAGACAAGGAAAAACCAACACAUAUCCAGGCCCCUGAUCUCCAUAGAGAAUGGUGCUUUGUCCAAGGAAAUGUGUGAGUUUCUGAUUCUCCAGGAGCAAUUCAGUGGUGAGGUUGAUGGGAAGACUUCUUCCUUCCCAAAGAAAAUGAAUCUUUCAUGUCUGAUCUAGGAGUGACUUGGUGUGCCAAAUAUGCCCAGGGUCCUGCCCUUAGCACUAGAUCUGACGGGGCCAAGAGGGUCCCAACCCCUUGCUAACAUACCACUUCUUUGUUUAACUCCUUUACCUUCCAAGCCCUUUGAGGAGGGACCAUAAGAACAGAAAUUAACCUUAUGAAAAGCUAGUUCUGUUCUUGCUUUUCCUUCUCAUAUAUUGAUGGUUCAUUUCCCUGACCUCCCAGAGAGCUGAACCUUUCUUUUCUCUGCUGCCUAGCCUUCUCAGUGGACUUGUCCCUCCUAAGCAGAGAAGGCCUAAUGAGGUUGCUUUCUGCUGGGAAGCCUGGUAGAGCCAAUUACCACCCUCUGCUGUUUAGUGCUUGGUUGCCUCUUGCAAUAACCAGCCAGCUCUUAGCCAUUCCCUUUCCCUGGGGCUUUCCCAUUUAACACAUGGAGCCCUUCCCUCAAGAAGGCUGCUUCCUUGUUUUAGAGGAAGGUAUUGCCAUUGGGAGAUGGGGACAUUGGGACCUCAGCAAUGAAGAACCCUUGUGAAGUACCAGGAGUAGUGGGGAAGGAGGCAAGUUUGGCAGGGUAUGGCCUACUUCCAUAGGUUUUUCUUUUUUCAGGUUUGAUGUAAGCAUGGGCUUGCAUCCCCGAGGUACACACUUUUACAUAUUGUAAGAUAGCCUGGCACUAGUAGGCUAUCUUUUCACCUUUUGACUAUUGACUUAAUAGCUCCUCUUGCUCUGCUUGGAGGUACUUCCUGCCUCUGAUUAAGGAGCAGGAAGAAAUGGA